rnacentral:rRNA from 1 species
GACGUAGGGUGCGAGCGUUGUCCGGAAUUAUUGGGCGUAAAGAGCUCGUAGGCGGCCUGUCGCGUCUGCUGUGAAAUCCCGGGGCUUAACCCCGGGCGUGCAGUGGAUACGGGCUGGCUGGAGGCAGGCAGGGGAGAACGGAAUUCCCGGUGUAGCGGUGAAAUGCGCAGAUAUCGGGAGGAACACCGAUGGCGAAGGCGGUUCUCUGGGCCUGUUCUGACGCUGAGGAGCGAAAGCGUGGGGAGCGAACAGG